rnacentral:lncRNA from 1 species
UCCAUUUGAGUUUUCGGAAGGGAUUUCUACACUAUAGGUGAGAUUUUCGCCCUUUUGCUUGGUAGGUUAAUGUUUGAGCUAGUAGUUGUUCGUUUACUUCUUGUAGCUCACUUUUUGAUGCUCCUAGGGUGCUAGGAGAUUAGUGGACAUCUCCGUUGGAGCAAACGAGGGGUUGCGCAAGUUUCGAUGGGUUUGACCUAGCCUACAAUAUGAGAAAUGCUCAUAUUUUGUGAUUUAUGUUUCGUAAAGUGGAAAUUCAUGCAUUUUCAUGUUAAAUGUAUUUAUUGUGAAUUUUAGAAUGCAUAACAUCCCUAUGUCAUGUAUAAUGAAUUUUCGGACCUCUAUAUAGUAGAGAGAGUUGCAUGUGAAGCUUGCACUAGCAUUGGGCAUUCUUAUGUUGGACUCGGGACCAUGUUCUUACCAUGAAAAUGAGCAUUGCUUCAUGCAUUUUAACUUAUACCUAAUUGAGACAUAAAGGACUUUAAUAAGCCUUAAGGGGCUUGGGGACUUGUACUACUUGAGAGUGAUUGGGCUAAUGUCAUAAAGGGGCAUUAAGCUCGGGUUAAAUGAGAACCUAGUACUAAUGUCAUGAAUGAAACAUAGAUUAUGAAAUAUGUUAACUUAUAACAAGCUUAAGUGUCAUAAAGAGGCACUAAGCAUAGUGGGUGUUGGAACGUCACUUUGAGACCUUGAACUAGAUCUUUGAGAUGCUAGUGACCUUUACCAUGUUAGAGACAUGAUGAUUGAGUACUUGAGACGAUGAUUAUACUUGUUGCCAUUUGUGCUCAUUCGCACAUGCUUAUGAGGGUCGCUCCCUACAAGCCGGCACUCCAGAGUUGGCCUACGCGACUUAUGAUCGCUCGUGCAGUAUCGAGAAGCCUACGGGGUCGGGAGGGAUAGACUCAUUUCCAGAGUGGAAAUGCUGGAGCUACCACCGACACUUAGGCGGCGCAAGCCGGACUACACUCGUGUAGGUCCCAAAACAAGAUUGAACUUGGACAUAACCUCUUAAAUUUGAAUCACUGCUAAAUAGAUUAUAGUAGUUGGAUUAUUGGACAUACUCAUAGUGUGGCUUUGAGAUAUUGGGACAUGUAGUAUACUUGAUAGAAUUACUCAUCGCAUCUUAGUAUACUUGGCAGCUGAUGAGCGUAUUCACCCGACAUUGGCAUAUUCAAACAUGAUAGCAUUGAUAUACAUCACGUUUACUUGUGGCAUAGCAUUUCACUCAUGCUUUCAAUUAUGCAGUUUAUUAUUGUCUAUUACUACUAUUGUUG